AUUGAACGCUGGCGGCAUGCUUUACACAUGCAAGUCGAACGGUAACAGGUUAAGCUGACGAGUGGCGAACGGGUGAGUAAUGCAUCGGAACGUGCCCGAUCGUGGGGGAUAACGCAGCGAAAGCUGCGCUAAUACCGCAUACGAUCUGAGGAUAAAAGCGGGGGACCGUAAGGCCUCGCGCGAUCGGAGCGGCCGAUGUCAGAUUAGGUAGUUGGUGGGGUAAAGGCCCACCAAGCCGACGAUCUGUAGCUGGUCUGAGAGGACGACCAGCCACACUGGGACUGAGACACGGCCCAGACUCCUACGGGAGGCAGCAGUGGGGAAUGUUGGACAAUGGGCGAAAGCCUGAUCCAGCAAUGCCGCGUGCAGGAAGAAGGCCUUCGGGUUGUAAACUGCUUUUGUACGGAGCGAAAAGGUCCUUUCUAAUACAAGGGGCUCAUGACGGUACCGUAAGAAUAAGCACCGGCUAACUACGUGCCAGCCGCCGCAGUAA
rnacentral:rRNA from 1 species